AUGAGCAGCGAGCAUGAUGAAAUCAGGCAGCAAGUCGUUGAGCUUGAAGAUGGAGACGAAUCCAGCAACGCUGCUCCGGAUGAGGACUAUUCCAUCACAAAUGCACGUGGAUCUAUUCCGAAGACCGAAUUCAAAUGGAAUGAAAAAUCCGUCAGAGUCCUCUUAAUGUUGAGAUUUCAACGGGAUGAAGAGUUCAACCGACCGUCUUGUAGAAAAAUUAAGUUAUGGGAACAAGUUGCUAAAGAAAUGCAAAAAAAUGGAUUCAUUGUCAAUGGUCAUUCUUGUGAUAGUAAAUAUAGAAACCUAUUAGCCACUUACCGAAAGAAUAAAAUCAAGCAGCAGACAGUGAUGAGUCCGUCGUCAUUUCAUGGGAGUUCUUUGAAUUCAUGGACGAACAUCUGGGCCCCAAAUUUGAUGAAACGUCUGAAUCUUUUGAGUAUGCCAUUCAAGCUACUCCCUCAGCAGUCGAAUCUGACUAUGAAGGAAGAUAUUUUUUAACUUCAGCAACGCCAUCUAAAAAACCGCGACUCAACAGUGUGCAAUACACCUCAGUGGAAGACGAAAGGAAGAUGUCUAUUCAAGAGUAUUUCUUUGAAAAGCUCCAGUUUGACAAGACUUGUUACAAGGAUGACCAGAGAAGAAAAAAUCGGAGAAUUGAACUUCAGGAGAGAAAAUCAAGAUUGCAGAGAAACAACUUGAGUUGGAGAUAAAGAAAGUUGAAGCUUUAACAGCUCUAGCAAGUGCUAUUUCCAAUCUAAAGGCUAUCGUUCCUUAAGUAGUUCCUUUCUUUUUGCUUAUUGUAUCUUGGUUUAUUUUUCUUUUUUCCCUUAUUUUUAUUUUUUAUUUUAUUUUUUUUUUUUUGUAAAACUUUCUCUUCUCUUGCAAAAUGUUGUUCUUUUAUACGUAAAUAUUUGAAGGUUUAAAAGAUGGGAAAGAAAAUCAAAUAUCAUUAACAAAGCACGUAAAUAUCAAGAAAAUUGCUUGUAGAGACCUCUUGAAAUUUGAUGUUGAAUGGCUCAUUGUUCACGCCGAAAACUGGCGGUAGGAGAUAUGGAAGAAUCCAUAUUUAUUUUCAACGGUCAUACCCCGCUAUGAGGACAAGUUUUGAUGGGCCUAUUACCUAUAUGUGGUUUGUAAGUUAUGUCUGUUAGUACUAAUUUUUUCCUCUGCUUUGUCAACAUCCGAAGUCAUGUCUUGAAUAUGUAUAAAUAUAUAUGUAAAUACCGAAAUUCAUGUCUUGAAUAUGUAUUAAUAUAUGUCUGAAGAAUGCUAAUUCUUGAUAGUGGAGCGCUCAGGAGAAAUAUUUUAGAGCCGCAGCCGUCGCGCCCCUACUUAAUGAAGUGCUAGACACCAAAAGGGCGUAAGGGUCGGGGGUAGCGAUCGAACACGGGGGAAAGCGCAGGUGGAAUCAUGAAAUGGCAACAUAACAGCGCCGCUCGCGAAAUACUGGUGAUAUUGGUUAGAGUGCGUUUUUCAAGCUAUAAUAAGUGCCGGCGAAAGAAAAAAAACACGAAUUUUAGCUUAGAUUUCUUCAAUUUUUCUCCAAAAAAUGUUCCAUUACAAGAAUAUCGAGGAACAAUAUGAGGUCUGUUCAAUAAGAAACCGGAUUUUGGUGAUAACUAGCCCACAAUGCGCUCGAAUUAGGUUUUCCUUGACUUUCCUGACAGCUGAAAAUAUACUUAAGAACGCUACAUUCACAUAUUUGAAAAAUCUUGAUUACCUAGUUGGUACGUUGCUUGAAGUAAUGCAACCUCAUGGGUGUUCUGCGAUUUUUACGUCUGACCGAACUUGUCUCUCUUUUUUCGAUCUUGCACUUCCUUUUUCAACCCACAAGGAUGAUUGGAGUUUCGUCUCCAUAUCGCAGCGAUUACGUAGCAUGGUGUCAACGAUCAUGGUGUCAACAAACAGUUUUUCUAAGUUUUUGUUGACACCAUGAUCAUCCAAAAAUAAAAAAUUCUGACUUUUAUGAAAAAUGAUCACGGUGUAAACGAUCACGAUGUCAACGAAACUUAAAACUUGCCUCAAUUACAUCUUUCAAA
rnacentral:lncRNA from 1 species